GGAAUCUUGCGCAAUGGGGGAAACCCUGAUCAUGCAACGCCGCGUGGAUGAUGAAGUACCUCGGUACGUAAAAUCCUUUCGACAGGGAAGAAACUCUUCGGAGCUGACGGUACCUGUAGAAGAAGCCCCGGUUAACCCCGUGCCAGCGGCCGCGGUACUACGGGGGGGGCAAGCGUUGUUCGGAUUUACUGGGCGUAAAGGGUGCGUAGGCGGUUUGCUAAGUCGGAUGUGAAAACUGGGGGCUCAACCCUCAGCCUGCAUCCGAUACUGGCAGACUAGAGUGCGAGAGGGGAAGGCGGAAUUCCUGGUGUAGCGGUGAAAUGCGUAGAUAUCAGGAGGAACACCGGUGGCGAAGGCGGCCUUCUGGAUCGCAACUGACGCUGAGGCGCGAAAGCUAGGGGAGCAAAC
rnacentral:rRNA from 1 species